GGGGGCGACCGGUUUCGACGUGGGUUGUGAACCUUCAGGGGCGUACCGAGGCGCAGUGCCCUCGUAAAUAAUGCUGCAAAUCAUAGUUGCCAACGACGACAACUACGCUCUAGCUGCCUAAUCGCAGCUGACCUCUGACCAGCUCGUGCCUAUGCGACUGAAUCAGGGGUAGCGCUCAUAGGAUCGCGUUCCAGCGUGCGACGGGCUGGAACGUUAAGAGUUACCGUGGCUGGCGAAGCGUUUUCCCUGCUUCUCGGGUAGCGUGACGCGAGAAACUAAAGAGACAGCUAUGUACGUAGAUCCUGCAGUCUAGCGCUUGCGGACGGGGGUUCGAUUCCCCCCGCCUCCACCA
rnacentral:tmRNA from 1 species